rnacentral:rRNA from 1 species
ACGAACGCUGGCGGCGUGCCUAAUACAUGCAAGUAGAACGCUGAAGAGAGGAGCUUGCUCUUCUUGGAUGAGUUGCGAACGGGUGAGUAACGCGUAGGUAACCUGCCUUGUAGCGGGGGAUAACUAUUGGAAACGAUAGCUAAUACCGCAUAACAAUGGAUGACACAUGUCAUUUAUUUGAAAGGGGCAAUUGCUCCACUACAAGAUGGACCUGCGUUGUAUUAGCUAGUAGGUGAGGUAACGGCUCACCUAGGCGACGAUACAUAGCCGACCUGAGAGGGUGAUCGGCCACACUGGGACUGAGACACGGCCCAGACUCCUACGGGAGGCAGCAGUAGGGAAUCUUCGGCAAUGGGGGCAACCCUGACCGAGCAACGCCGCGUGAGUGAAGAAGGUUUUCGGAUCGUAAAGCUCUGUUGUAAGUCAAGAACGAGUGUGAGAGUGGAAAGUUCACACUGUGACGGUAGCUUACCAGAAAGGGACGGCUAACUACGUGCCAGCAGCCGCGGUAAUACGUAGGUCCCGAGCGUUGUCCGGAUUUAUUGGGCGUAAAGCGAGCGCAGGCGGUUUGAUAAGUCUGAAGUUAAAGGCUGUGGCUCAACCAUAGUUCGCUUUGGAAACUGUCAAACUUGAGUGCAGAAGGGGAGAGUGGAAUUCCAUGUGUAGCGGUGAAAUGCGUAGAUAUAUGGAGGAACACCGGUGGCGAAAGCGGCUCUCUGGUCUGUAACUGACGCUGAGGCUCGAAAGCGUGGGGAGCGAACAGGAUUAGAUACCCUGGUAGUCCACGCCGUAAACGAUGAGUGCUAGGUGUUGGAUCCUUUCCGGGAUUCAGUGCCGCAGCUAACGCAUUAAGCACUCCGCCUGGGGAGUACGACCGCAAGGUUGAAACUCAAAGGAAUUGACGGGGGCCCGCACAAGCGGUGGAGCAUGUGGUUUAAUUCGAAGCAACGCGAAGAACCUUACCAGGUCUUGACAUCCCGAUGCUAUUUCUAGAGAUAGAAAGUUACUUCGGUACAUCGGUGACAGGUGGUGCAUGGUUGUCGUCAGCUCGUGUCGUGAGAUGUUGGGUUAAGUCCCGCAACGAGCGCAACCCCUAUUGUUAGUUGCCAUCAUUCAGUUGGGCACUCUAGCGAGACUGCCGGUAAUAAACCGGAGGAAGGUGGGGAUGACGUCAAAUCAUCAUGCCCCUUAUGACCUGGGCUACACACGUGCUACAAUGGUUGGUACAACGAGUUGCGAGUCGGUGACGGCAAGCUAAUCUCUUAAAGCCAAUCUCAGUUCGGAUUGUAGGCUGCAACUCGCCUACAUGAAGUCGGAAUCGCUAGUAAUCGCGGAUCAGCACGCCGCGGUGAAUACGUUCCCGGGCCUUGUACACACCGCCCGUCACACCAUGGGAGUCUGCAAUGCCCAAAGCCGGUGGCCUAACCGUAAGGAAGGAGCCGUCUAAGGCAGGGCAGAUGACUGGGGUG